CUCAUAUAAAAUCUGAUUUCAGGCUAGAGACGGAAUUUAUUGAAGAAAUUGUGAAGGACAUCCACCGUAGGUUACAUGUACCCUCAAGGAGUGUUCGACAACAACUUAUUGGGAUGGACUAUGAGAUUAAGUUCAUAACUUCAUGGUUGAAAGAUGGAUCCUCACAUACGGCAGACAUACUCACUAUUUAUGGUAUAGGAGGGAUUGGGAAGACAACUUUAGCCAAACAUGUCUAUGGGCUAUAUGCUCACAAAUUCCACAAAAGCAGCUGUAUUGAAGAUGUUAGUAGGGUAUGUGAUGGAAAGUUUAAUGGGUUGCUUGAUUUACAAGAAAAACUAAGCAGUGACAUUUCAAAAACAAGUUCCGUUAAAGUUCAUGAUGCUUCGGUAUACACCUCAAAGAUAGAGAAUGCAGUAGCACGUAAAAGGGUGUUUCUUGUUCUUGAUGAUAUUAGUACGCUUGAUCAGUUGGAUACGCUACUUGGAAGCAAAGGUUUUCAUCCCGGAAGCAAAAUAAUUAUAACCACAAAGGAAAGGCGUUUGAUAGAGAGGUGUGCACUAUUCAAAACAGACAUUAAACCAAAGCAUACAGAGCUCUUGCUUCAAGGCUUACAUGAGACCGAAUCAUGGAAACUUUUGUGUCUCCAUGCAUUCAAAUGCAAAUAUCCCAAGACAGGUUAUGAAGGGGUGUUUUAUAAGCUUGUGAAGUAUUGUCAAGGACAUCCAUUGGCUCUUGUAGUAUUGGGAAAAUCUCUAUAUGAUCGAGAUGUAACUUAUUGGGAAGGCUGCAUAGAAGGGCUAAAGAAAGAAACAGAUUCUCAUGUGAAUAAUGUCUUGAGAAUGAGCUUUAACUCUUUGCAAUCCAAAAAUGAUAAGGACUUGUUUAAGUAUAUUGCUUGUUUUUUUGUUGGAAUAGAUAGAGAUGUUGCUGAAACAAUAUUACAUGCAUGCAAUAUAAACAUAAGAUCUGGAAUCCCGAAUCUCCUCGACCGAUUCCUUCUUUCUAUUGGAUGGAAAAACGAAUUGAAGAUGCAUCAGUUGGUACAAGAGAUGGGAAGAUUUGAAGUACGUCAGGAAUCACUUGACAAGCCAUGGAAGCGAAGUCUAUUAUGGUGUCAUGAGGAGUCAUUCAGAGUAUUAAAACAAAAAAAGGUAAGAGGUCAUAUGUGGUUUUAAAAGUGUGCAUGUUAAAAACAUUGUGUAUGGUCUUAACUUUUUAUUUACAUUAUGUUUCUUCUUAGGGUAAGGGAAAUCUUGUUGGCCUUGCCCUUGACAUGCGCAUGCUUGAGAAAGAGAUGUUGGGUGCAUCAUAUAAGCUAAAAACAGAUGCAUUAAGUAAGAUGGAUAAUUUGAUGCUACUACAACUCAAUUAUGUUCACAUGAAUGGGUCUUAUGAGAACUUUCCACCGGAACUAAGAGGUUUGUGUAUGCAUGGAUUCCAUUUAAAGUCUAUACCUUCAGAAUUACCUAUGGAGAAUCUUGUUGCUCUUGACAUGUCAUAUAGCAAUAUUGAAUCAUUUAUCGGUUGUUAUAGUAAUCCACAACGACUUGAGAAGAGGAAAAAGGUAACUUAUCUUCAUUUAUUAUUUUUCAUGCUUAGUUGAAUUUCACCACCAUUCUAACUUCUUUUAGUUUUUAUAGUUGGAUGGAUUAUGCUUAAAAAACAAAAGGUUGCUUGGAUCAUUGAAGGUUCUUAAUUUAAGUUUCUGUAAACAACUUUGUAGUCUUGGUGACUUUGACCAAUUCCCAGCUUUGGAGAGGUUAAUAGUCAGAAAUUGCACUGGUUUGCUUGAGGUUAGUGAAUCAAUUGAGCAGUGUGUUGAACUUGCCCUCAUCGAUCUAAGCUACUGCAAGCAGCUUAAAAACCUUCCAAGAAUCAUAGGCAUGCUAAAGAAGGUUAAAACAAUGUUGCUAAAUGGUUGUAAUCUCGGUGAAUCUCAAACUGAUAAUACAAAUUUAAAUAUGGAUUCACUGGACAUGUGCAAUGCUAACAAAAACAUUAGCAUACGCACAAGAACCUCUUCCUCCGCCUUUGUGGGUGCAAUACCAAGCCGUUUGAAGUUGUUUUCAGUUUCUUUACCGAGGUCUUUAGUAAGGUUGUCCCUUGUAAAUAAUAAUUUGUCCACUGAAUCCUUUCCUAUGGAUUUCAGUAGUCUGUCCAUGUUAAAGGAAUUAUAUUUAGAUAGCAAUCCUAUCCAUUCCAUGCCCAAUUGUGUGAGAACCCUUCCUAAGCUUGAAAAACUUGGUAUACGAGACUGUAAUAAAUUGAAGUCAGUCGAACAUCCUCCACACACACUAAAAACAAUGAUGCUCUAUUCUUAUCCCGAUUCUUUAGAAAAAGUUGUAUUUGAUCCCAAAAUGUCUCCCCUCCAGUUAUUUCAUAGUUUAAAACAUUACACACCUGGGUCGUAUGAAAUUGAAGGCAUGGUGAAAAUCCAACCAAUGGUGGGUGUUGAGGAAAAGGUAUUACGUAGCUUGGGCUGGAUUAAUUUACUCCAUAACAAAAGGAAUGGGGGAAAUAAUCCUAGGGAAUCUCGAAUGCAGGUUUUGUCUGGUUAACUGUCUUUCUUUAUUUGACUACAUAAAAUACUAUAAUAUAAUCAUUUAAUUAAGAUGUUUGUAUUUGGCAGAUGUUAUAUGAAUUUGGAAUAUUCAGCACAAUAUAUGAGACAGAGGAGAUGCCGAGUUGGUUUAUGCAUAGAAGCCCAGGGCCAUCGAUAUCAUUUACGAUCCCAUCAUCAUCUCCAAACAACCUCCUUACAGGACUCAACUUCUGCUUUCUGCAGACAAGGAGAGUUUUGUAUGAGAGGCCUUCAAUUCUACUUCAUCAUUUCCCUGGUUCACCGAUGAUCACAGUUAGUAAUAUAACAAAGAACAGUAUGUGGAUAUACGAACAUUACAGGAUGCCAUUUGGUGUAGGGCGAGUGUGUAGGGUGGUGUUAAGUCAUUGGAUGUUUGGGAUGAAUGAGAUGGAGGUUGGUGACCAUGUUACUAUUACUGUUACGCUGCCAUAUGAUGAACAUGUAAAGGAGUGUGGGGUGAGUCUUGUGUAUGAGGAUGAUGGAGAGAAGAAGGAUGAAGAAGAAGAUGUGUUGGGUUAUUACAAGUCAUGGAAUCAUAUAAUUGGUGGAGAUCUCUCUCCUUUUCAAACAACAACAGGACAAUACAUCCUAAACGACAGGUGGUUUUUUACACAUGCCAUUGUAUUGUCUCCCUAUCAUCGUAAAUUCGUUCCAGACGGCCCCGACAUUCAAGGUAGAUGUGAUUUUUGUUAAAUAUAUUUUUAUUGUCAUGUCUUAUGUAUAAUGACCUACCUCACCCAUCACCCACUUUCUUUAAUUACAUGGAUAAUGACCCAUUUAUUUUAAUACAUAUGUCAUAACUUAAAUCUUUUAAACAACUGGAUCAUAUAUACUAUUGAUUUUAUUGACCCAUAAGAUAAGAUGUUGUUUUAUAAAAAUAUUAAAGAUAAAAGUUGUACUUUAAAUUUAUAAAUUGCAUUGAUUCGUGUAGUCUACAACAGGAGGUCCAAGAAGCCCAUCAAAUUAGUUGGGAUCAAGUCCAGUCCUUAUCACCCUUGUUUAGCUGCAGUUAAGAGUUUUAUUUUUCUUUUGUAUGUUAAUAGCAUUCUGUUAUGAGUGAAGCACCAUCUUUAGGACAGGGGGCAGCCUUUUUGGUUUGGUAUGGUGUGCUGGCAUCCAUUUUACCCUACCCUGAGGACUAUUUAAACUUUUCAUUUUCUAGAAAAUUGUAGUAGAAAAAGUUAUUGGAGAGACCCUUCCUCUUGAAAGAAUGGGAAAAAACCCUAAUAAAUCAUUUAUUAUCAGUUAAUUGUUUCUGGUUGUGAAUUUCCUGCUUAUUCUCUUUACUCUGUGUGGGGCUUAUCAGCACACUCAAUUGAUCAAGACUUUUGAUAAGUUGGAUCACAUAAAUAUACCUGGGCCCAAUACGACUACUUUGUCCGAAUGGAUUAUUUGUGAAUAAUGCUUAACACAUAACUUUUUAUCUGUUUUCAGAAUACAAGGAAGAUUAUUGGUUCAGAGCUUUAUCCUGAAGGAAGCCUGAUAUAAGUGGUCGCACACAUGAGGUAUACUUUUUGACACCCAAACCUUUUCUCUCUUCGCGUGAACAAAAGGCAUACACAACCGAAUAUUAGGAAUCAAAGUUCUCAAUUGGUUUAGGGUGUAACAAAAUAAGAGAAGUAAUUAUAACCUUUCAUUGAAUGCAUUAAAGUGGAAAUAUUAAAAUUUGGAAUCAUUGAAUACUACAAAUAUCUGUUCAUACCAUGUCUAAACACUAUGGGUCAAAAUCUAGGAUUGAAUUCUCACCACUCCCUGCCACGGUUUUGGGGAAUGGCAUCACCUGUCAUGACUCGUUUUUGUAUCUAGAGUCUCCUAGAAGGAGAGCGUGAAUUUGUAUAUAGAUCUAUACUGGAUUGACUAUCCUACACCUUGCUAUUCACUACAGUUGGACUUGCAAGUCUACGGGUGCCAAAUGUCAUUUCUUCCGAUGUCUUUCAUCGUCGUGUUAUUAGUUGAUAGUAUGGUGCAAUCAUAUCACAUUAUACCUUAAAUAACAAUUGGUUUAAGGUAGAUAGUACAACAGUAGUUACUAUAAUACAACACUACAGUACUAUUAUUAUUUCCCCAUUACAUUCAAAUUGUGAUCUUCUUACACAAGCGGUAAUGUAGAAAUUAUAUUUUUGGUUAAUGAUAGUCACACUUGGGAAAAUACACACUUUUACAAGAAACAAACAUACAGAACAUUUGAUGCCUUGGUAGAAGGCUAAGUUUAAUAGAAAAUAUAGGAUUUUCUAGGAGAUACAAACAUUUACUACAAACAAUUACAAACUUAUACAUCAAACACUUACAAACAUUUUCAUACAAACAAUGACACUAAAAUGCUUAUGAACUCACCAGCUUUAAAACUGAUAAACUCUUUUAAAAUUUGGAAUCAUUGAAUUCUCACCACUCCCUGUCACAGUGUAAUAUGCAACUAAGACCAAUUUAUAGAUUAAUAAUCUUCAGUAGAUGUUGUUCUUGGGUAGAUUCUAUGUUAAUAACAAACUAUUACACUUUGGAAAACAAUAUGAAAUUGAUCAAGCAUAUUGCUUGAUUUUAGGGAAUCUUAAUGAUAGAUUCAUUCUUAGGAUAGAAGCAAGCAACAUGUUGAGAAUGCUUAAAUUGCUUCAAGAGUUUGGAAGAGAUGUGUCUCUAGGAAUCAUUAAUAUUGUUGAAUCAAGAGAAUGUAACAGAAACUUUUACAAUUUUCUUACUUUUCCUUCUUAUGUAGGGUGAGGGGGAAUCUUCAAGGUCUCAUCCUUCAUUCACAUGAAAAGGGUUGAGAAAGCUAGAGAGGCUACAUGGCUGGCAUGAAUAGAAAAUAGAUGUAUUCGGCAACUGGGGGAAUCUUCAAGGUCAAUCAUAUGCAAGUCAAUGAGCUAUAUAUGUUACUUUUCCAGAAGAAUUAAGAUAAUAUAUACCAGCCUCUACUGCAAAAUUAAACACAUUUUGAAUUGUAUGUUAUUUCCCCAUGAUUCUUUUAAGCAUAGUUAUCAAAAUUAAACACUUCUUGAAUUGUGUGCUAUUUCCUUAUCAUAAUUGGAAUUGAAAAUUUUGUCUCAACUCUCAAUCAUUGCAUUAUCAACAAUGUCCAUCGUGUCUACGGACUCAAAAUCUCAAAUCCUUGAUAGGAUUCUAUACUUUGUUUGGGUACUAUGUAAAAUUAGCAUGCUACACCUUAAUAUACUAAGACUCUGAUUCAGAGUUGUGUGAGGUAACUAAGUAGGGAGUCCUUUGGCUCCGCAGUCGGGCUGGGACCCGGUAUUUCAGAUAAUUGGUGAACGAACUGAGACCAGGAGGUCUCGUUAGAUUUUGGAGAGCAGCCAUGUGGUAGCAUACUGCUUCAAGCAGUUCAGUGUUUCAGGCAGUUACGUGUUUUAGGCAGUUCAGUAUUUCAUGCGGUUCCGUGUUUCAGGCAGUUCAGUGUUCAGGCAGUAAGUGUUUUAGGCAAUUCAGUGUUUCAUAAAUUUCAAUGCUUCGGACAGUCAGUGUCUCAAGCGGUAAUGGUAACUGAGGAUCUCAUGUAUGGUAAGUGUAAUAGAUUGCUGAGUAAUGCUAAGUUACCCACCGCGGGGUUCAUCUAUAAUGAUUCAGUAUGAGUGGUCUAUUAAGGAUUCAGAUCAUCUAGAGACAGCAAAUUUCAGACAGAGUACAUGUAAUCUUGUUGCGAGGUAUUUGUUCACCUUAGGAAUUUAGGGCUUUACGAAGAUUGUCACGACUACCCUAGGAAGCCUAGGGUGUGCUCAGGAUAGUGACCAUGUUACUUGAGUGGUUCGGCGCAUAAGAGAUGGUAAGGAAUGAUUUCGAGGACAAAAUCUAAUUUAAGUGGGGGAGAGUUGUAACACCCUGUUUAUUUAUUAGAUAAAAAAUUAAUUAAUGAAUGAAUACUAGCCCUAAAAUAAAUAAUUAUAUUUCAAAAGUUGAUCUUGAGGAGCUAAUUGUCACCCUUUAAGAGAUUGGGGGUUAAAAGUGUAAGUUCCAGAUUAGUUUUUUAAGUAUUUAAGAAGGCAGGGGCUAAAUGGUAAGUAUUAUACUCGAUUUGUAAAGAAUUUUAAGGCUGAGGGUUAAAAAGGUAUAUUGGGGAUUUAUGUUGAAAGAAAAGGAGGGUGGAGGGGCUUAUCUUGCCAUUAUGGAAAACUUAUGUAUGGAGGCGGGUAUUUAAGGGUUCAAACCCUAAACCUAGUGCAAGAAACUACAUCUGCCAUCUCCUUUUUCAUUCUGGUAGCCGCUGCUACCAUUGGAGCCUCCUCAGCCACCAUUUGCGUCACCAAGCCCGACAACCCAGUCCCGCCUACUGUAUAUGAGGAUGAUGGAGAGAAGAAGGAAGAAGAAGAAGAUGCAUUGGGUUAUUACAAGUCAUGGAAUCACAUAAUUGGUGGAGAUCUCUCUCCUUUUCAGACAACUACAGGACAAUACAUCCUAAACAAUAUGCAGUUUUUUACACAUGCCAUUGAUUUGUCUCCCUACCAUCGUAAAUUCGUUCCAGACGGCCCCGACAUUCAAGGUAGAUGUGAUUUUUGUUAAAUAUAUUUUUAUUCUCGUGUUUUAUGUAUAAUGACCUACCUUACCCAUCACCCACUUUCUUUAAAUACAUGGAUAAUGACCCAUUUAUUUUAAUAGACGGAUCAUAACUUCAAUCUUUUAAACAAAUGGAUCAUAUAUAUUAUUGAUUUUAUUGACCCAUAAGAUCAGAUUUUGUUGUUAUAAAAAAAUAUAAAAGCUAAAAGUUGUAAUUUUAAUUUAUAAAAUGAAUAGACCCAAACAUUGAUUCAGAAACGGGGACAGUUCUGGUCCCAGGGGUACUUUGGGAAAACUUUCCUAAUUUAAAGUUUUGAGUUAGUUUAGGAUUCCAAUUAGGGUAUGGUUGUGUGACCUUUUUAAUUAAGUUUUUUUUCAGUCUUUUCAGUAAUAAAAUUUGGAGAACAAGUAAUUUUCCCAGAUUUCUUCCUCCCCUGUUUCGCUCAUGCUCUAUUUCUUUUCUGCACACAGCUGAAGUUUCCAUUCUGUCAUAAUCAAGUGAAUUGAUAUGGUGUGGUGGCAUCCAUUUUACCCCACCCUGAGGAGUAUUUAAACUUUUCAUUUUCUAGAAGGUUGUCAGCUAAGAAAAUUCUAGUAGCAAAAACUAUUUGAGAGGCCCUUCCUCUUGAAAGAAUGGGAAAACCCUAAUAAAUCAUUAAUUAUCAGUUACUUGUUUCCAGUUGUGAAUUUCCUGCUUAUUCUCUUUACUCUGUGUGGGGCUUAUUAGCACACUCAAUUGAUCACAUAAACAUUCAUGGACCUAAUAUGACUACUUUGUCCAAAUGGAUUAUUUGUGAAUAAUGACUAACACAUAACUUGUUAUCUGUUUUCAGUAGAAAAGGAAAGGUUUUGGUUGAGAGCUUUAUCCCUAAGGAAGCCUGACAUAAGUGGUCGUGCACAUAAGGUAUACUUUUUGACACCCAAACGUUUUCUCUCUUCGCGUGAACAAAAGGAAUACACAACCGAAUAUUAGGAAUCAAAGUUCUCAAUUUGUUUAGGGUGUAACAAAAUAGGAGGAGUUAUAACCUUUCACUGAAUGCAUUAAAGUGGAAAUAUUAAAAUUUGGAAUCAUAGAAUACUACAAAUAUCUGUUCAUACCAUGUCUAAACACUAUGGGUCAAAAUCUAGGAUUGAAUUCUCACCAUUCCCUGUACUUGUCUCAGUGUAAUAUGCAAGUAGGACCAAUUCAUAGAUUAAUCAUAUUCAGUAGACGUUCUUGGGUAAAUUCUAUGUUAAUAACAAACUAUUGCAUUUUGGAAAACAAGAUGAAAUUGUUUAAGCAUAUUGCUUGAUUUUAAGGAAUCUUAUUGAUAGAUUCAUUCUUAGGAUAGGAAUCAUUAUUCUGUUGAAUCAAGAAAAUGUAACAUAAACUUUAACAAUUUUCUUACUUUCCUUUUUAUGUAGGGUGAGGGGGAAUCUUCAAGGUCUCAUCCUUCAGAUGAAAAGGAUUGAGAAAGAGAGGCUACAUGGCUGGCAUGAAUAGAAAAUAGAUGGGUAGCCUGAUGCUAUUGCAAAUUCAUUAUAUCCUACUUUUCUAGAAGAAUUAAGAUAAUAUAUUCCAGCCUCUACUGCAAAAUUAAACACAUUUGUAUUUGUAUGUUAUUUCCCCAUGAUUCUUUUAAGCAUAGUUAUCAAAAUUAAACACUUCUCGAUUUGUGUGCUAUUUCCUGAUCAUUAUUUGAACUGAAAUCUUAGUCUCAGUUAUUGCCUUAUCAACAAUGUCCAUAUGAAAGAUGAGAAUUCUCGUAUCAUUUGUUUUCUUGUUUUGUUUAUUUAUUUAUUUAUUUAUUUUUUAUUUUAGAAGCAACACUUUUAGGUCGCCCCUUUUUCUACACAUCACGAUACAGAAUAGUAUCACAUAUUAAUUUAUAUAUCUUAUCUUUACUGUCCUCUAUAUCUUUUAUUGUUACUAUUUGUGGUUGCCAAAAGAAUAUCAUAUUCUCAUUUAUUUUCAUUUUCCAGCUCAUCUUGAUAUCAUAUCAAGUUAUCAGUAGUGUUUUUGCAACAAAGUUAGACUCCACAAUCUGGUCAUUUGAGGCUGAAAAUAAAUCAUCAACAUCAACUUAUCUGUGGUCUUUAUGCACCACUCUCAUUUCGUGUCUUUUUCCCAUGUCCUCAUUGUCCUUAACAACUUGAACAUCACAUAACCCCGUGCCUGAUUCCACCUCAUUUGAGCUUAAAAAAAACCUGUUCAUCUCCUUACCAACAUCUUGAUUACCAUUGAAGUCAUUUUAUUGGCCAUAAUUAUCAUUCACACUUGCAUUAGUAACCUUGCUUUCAGUAUCCAGAUUGGAGAUGAUUGGAGAUACAAGGAGUAGAGGCUUUAAUUAACUCUUUUGCUUUCAGUAUCUGAAUACAACAAAAUGGCACCAAAAACAAAAACUAAGAAGCAACACCCAAAUGAUGAGAGAAGAUGCAACAUGGCCAAAAAGCAAUUAGCCAAAACUAUAUCAUUGGAGACAAUAAACCACUUCAACUUGGCCAAAAAGCAACAUGAAGCAAUUGGAAGCAAUGAAAGAAUACACUAUUUGAAAACUCUAAAUUGGAGCGAGUCACCAAUUUAAACUAAUAAUAUCCACAUCAAGAGUAUAUGCAUAGCUCCUCCACAUGUUGACUUUUUUUUUUUUCUUAACUACAAAUCUAGCCACUUUUUUUCAUAAUUUAAUAAAAGCUUUGUUUUCUAUUUAUCAUUAUUUGUAUACACAUAGCAAGAAAAGCUUAUAACUCCAGUGGGUGCAAUCUUUGGGAUAAAGUAUUUACAUAUAAAAACAUUUUACACAUUAAUUUGAACCAAUCAUUAUAAAGUUAGAAAAAUCAUAUUACUAUAUAAAUUAAUAAAUGUUUGAAAAUCAUUAAUUAAUGAUUAUAACUACAAAGUAUUAAUAUUAUUUUAAUUUACUAACUGCGGUUACUACGAGUUAGUUUAUAAAGAAGCAAACCACUUAAAGAUACCUUUUUCACUAUUCAAAUACUAGAAAUCACUUGAUCCUCUUCUUAACAAACCAUUAUUAUAACCACAAAAAAGAAGAAAUAUGAACAACAAGGUCUAAGAUGAGAGAGAGUCAAUACUCAUAAUUUUCUCAGGCCAACCCCACUUCUUAAAAUUUGGACAAUUUUAUGCAUACAACUAGUCUAGGAAUGACAUUUAUUAUUAACAAAUUGAAAUGAAAUGAAAAUGAAAUUUAAAGAGUAAAAUGGAAUAAGAUGUGUGGUUUUCAAUUGGUACGAAGAGAGUAUUUGUAAUGAUAUAAAGGAGAAAAAAAAGGAAAAAAAAUGAAAAUGUAACUGUUAGAACGCGUUCCACAAACCUUUAACCUUCUUCUAACGGUAACCAAUGCGCUCAAAUCCAUCUCCUCGGCGGUACUGCCCGCCACCCGCCGGAGCCCACUUCCGAUACCCUCCACUCUAAUAAAUAUCAUUAUUAUCUUCCAAUUUUAAGUAUCAUGAUAAGUACUGUGUUGACUUUGGGUUGACAUAAGGAAUAACAAUUAUUUUCUCUAAAAUUCUCCUUGCGAAUCAUUAUUUUGUUGAAAUGUACCUUUUCUUUAUGAGCAUAAUUACUUUAUUGAAUUUAGCUUGCCUUGAUAAAUAUCUUUUAUUUUCGUGAAGUUUACAUUGUCUUAAUAAAUAUCAUUACCACUUUAAUAAUUAUCAUUUCUAAUUCCACAAUAAAUAUCAUUAAAUAGUUUUCUUUAAUAAUUAUUAGACAAAAUUACAAAAAUGGUCCCUGUGGUUUGCCAAAAGUCACGAAGUCAGUAUCUGUUAAUUUUUUUUUGAUGUAAAUGGUCCUUGUGGUUUGCAAAACUUGCAAAGAUGACCCUUUUUACUAACACCAUUAGUAUUCAGCCGUUAGGGACUAAAUCUGUAAGGGUAUUUUCGUCUUUUCAAGUAUAAAGGGACUGAAUUCGUGACAUUUAAUAAACCAUAGGGACCAUUUUUGUAAUUUGUCUUAAAAUAAUAUAAAUGAUAGAAAAUGAAGUGUACUAUAUUCGAACUUUGGACCUCCUACCUUUCUCCCUUAAUCAACCAAAGCUUUAACCAACUAGGCUAGAGCCGCACUUGAUUUAUAUUUUCGAAAACUAACUAAUAUUAUCUACAAAUCGUAAAUAAAUUAAUAAUAAAAUAUUAAAAAAAACAUAUUUUUACAAAAAAAAAAAAUUAAUAAAACAAAAUAUAUUUUUAGCGUAUUGUAAAAAAAAAAUACAAACAAUUAUUUGUUUUUUUACGUAUUUAAAAAAAUAAGUUUCCGUAUACUUUUAAAUACAUAAAAAAAUAACGUAAUAACAUAUUCUACAAAAACAUAAUCCUAAAAAACAUAAAAAAAAGUUUUUUGUAUAUAUUUAUUUUAUGUGAAGAUUCAGUUCCUAACGGCUGAAUACUAACGGUGAUAGUAAAAAGGGCCAUCUUUGUAAGUUUUGCAAACCACAAGGACCAUUUACAUCAAAAAAAUUAACAGGGAUUGAUUUUGUGACUUUUGGCAAACCAUAGGGACCAUUUUUGUAAUUAUGUCUAAUUAUUAUUAUUUAUAGAAAAGAAUUGAAAAAAAAAGCGACACCAUCAAGGCAUCGAAGGAAAACCCAACACCCUCGUUGACUCUCCUCUCUGGUCGUCUCCCUUCCUCGUUGACUUGCUGUUUCCCUGCCGACUUAACGCGGUUCGCUCUGUACUUUUCACUCUUCAUCGAUCUUUCUCAGCCGCGUCACUGUUGGUUCAUCCUUUAUCGCUGCUGUUUCAGUUCUCCUUGUCAUCCUGUAUGCUUCUUAAUUACAAGUUGUUAGACAAUUUCAUCUUAUGAAUCAUAAAUCACAUCAUAAUCAUUUCGUUAUUUCACUAACAGGUGAUUGAAUAUUGUCUAUUUCCAUUAUUUUUGUUUUAUUUUAUAUAUCAAUUAGGAUACUCCACACUCCUUCUAGCCCAAAGUCCAGUACGAUGAACAAAAUUUCCUGCACGUUGAGAAUUCUUUGAUCCUUUAAAAUUUCUUCCUCAAUUCCUCUAUAUUUUCUAAUUCGCAACACGAUUUUUAGAUUUGAUUCUUUUUGAAUGAUGUUUAUGAACAAGCUUCAAUAUUUGAUUGUCAUAAUGAGUGUUUUGCUUGUGUAUAGACUAAAGAGUGCAUUUAGCUUUGAAAUUUCUUCUAUUAUUGAGUUUGAAAUUGAACCCUUAGAAAGGGCAAAGUGGAAGGCGUGUUUUGCUGGCUUCAGAAACAUAUCAUUUGGAACAAGCCCAUAAAUAUUGUUAGUUGAAACACUUAAAAUAAGAUGUAUGCUGAUACUAGAUCCAGUUAUAUAUGAAUUUUAAAUUUGUGUAGAUUGUUGUGCUAAUUUUGGAGAUCCAUAAUUAAACAACCUUGUCAAGCAAGUGCUGUUUUUUUUUGUUUAAAACUUUACAUCUUUCAAUUGUUUGUUGAUAUCUAGUAAAAGCUUGAAAUUUCCUAUAUGCUUUGCAAUUUCCUUCAUGGGAGGUAAUAGUGGAUCUUGUAGUUAUUUCAAGAAUGGUAUUUUGGUGUAGAUUUGUUUGACGAUUACUCUACUGAAAUUCAUAUGGAUUUUACUUAGAUAAAUAAGGAUCUUUAUGUGGGCUAAUCAAAUUAAAACAGAGGCGUUGUAGUUUCAAUGCAUAAAUUGGUUUGUUAUUUUCUUGAAUCUAAACUUAGCCAGAAAAACAGGUUAAUUAAUUGGUAACAGCUUUUAAAAUAAAUUUCAUGGCAAUGUAAUGGUUAUUCUAUAUCCAUACUUUGUUUUUGUGGGAAAGAAUAUUCUAUAUAAAUACUUAGUUAGCUAUAUAUGUUUUGGCUAAAGGAUCCAAAAACCUGUCACAUAAUUAUUAUUGCCAUGAGAUUGCUGUUGUAGUGAUUUAACAGCGUCUCUUUGUAUUUCAAACACAGCAGCAACCGAUUAAUGCUUAUUCUUUUGUGUUCCUUUUCCAGUGUUUAUUUGAUGAGAUUGAAGUUGCAUAUUUUAAAUAUUAAUAAUUUGGAUUUUAUGUACAGGCUUUAUUUGAACCACAAGUUAAGAGCUUCUAGCUUAUUGAGAUACACAAAGGCUUAUCAACCCAUAACUCAUAAUGGUUAUUCUCUCUGAACUCCUCUCAGAAGGAUCUUCAUCUUCUUCAUCAAAUAGUGGUCAUAGUCCAACUGAUGGUCAAAGUUCAUCAACUGAUGGUUACAUGUACGAUGUAUUUUUAAGUUUUAGAGGUGUUGACACUCGUCAUAGUUUCACUGAUCACCUUCAUAAAGCCCUCAUUGAUGCCAAUAUCACUACGUUCUUGGAUGAUGAAGAGAUUGAAACAGGGGAAGAUCUGAAACCAGAACUAGAGACUGCAAUUAAGGCAUCUCGGGGUUCUAUCAUUGUGAUGUCUAAGAAUUACGCUUCUUCAACAUGGUGUCUGGAUGAAUUGGUGUUGAUCCUUGAGCAGCAUAUGACAUCUGAUCAUAUUAUUAUCCCCAUAUUUUAUCAUGUUGAGCCCACUCAUAUCGGGAAGCAACAAAGUAGCUUUGGAGAUGCAAUGGCUAAGCAUAAACAGACAAUGGAGGCAGAGACAAAUGCAAAUAAAAGAAGUGAAUGGGCUCAAAAGAUGGACCGAUGGAAUAAAGCCCUUAUAGAAGUAGCUAAUUUAAAAGGAAAAGACGUCAAUGGAAGGUAACUGUUUUCUUACCUAUAUUUCCAAAAUUCUUCAAUUUUGUUUGAUUAACACAUGAAUGUUAGUAUCAUCUUCUCCCAAUGCAUUUCAAUAAGUUUCUUUAACAUCACUAAAAAGACAUAUNUAUAUAUAUAUAUAUAUAUAAUGUAUUAGGAUAUAAAUUCCACACAUUUUUUUAUGCAUUUUGUGUUUCAUUAUAAGUUACUUCAUUUAGACAAACUGUUCCAAUUAUUUUGUAUGCUUUCUAUUAAGAAAACAAGAUUUGAAGGGUUUGCUAUGCAUCUACUAUUACUUAUACCAUACCACCUUAUAAUCAUAGUGUCUUUUAUGAUAAAUAACUUAUCUUACCUUUAAGCAGUAAAACAUUACUUAUAACUGGCACUUUUUUCAAAACACGCCACAAUGAUAGUUAUGAUGGUCUUGUGUAAAUGCAGUGAAGUUAGGUUGUCCAUUAGUGAAAUCUGGUAUUACAUUGGAACUUGUAUGGUUAGAACAUAGAAGUGUAAACACAAUAUCAUUUUAAUGUGAAGGACUUGAUUAAAAUUAAUAGCUAUGAUAUAAUUUUGAUUUUGGUUCUUUGGACAAAUUAAAUCUCCAAAUCCAGUUUGUUAGUUCUGUGGUUCAUAUAAAAUCUGAUUUCAGGCUAGAGACGGAAUUUAUUGAAGAAAUUGUGAAGGACAUCCAACGUAGGUUACAUGUACGCUUAAGGAGUGUCCGGCAACAACUUAUUGGGAUGGACUAUGAUAUUAAGUUCAUCACUUCAUGGUUGAAAGAUGGAUCCUCACAUACGGCAGACAUACUCACUAUUUAUGGUAUAGGAGGGAUUGGGAAGACAACUUUAGCCAAACAUGUCUAUGGGCUAUAUGCUCACAAAUUCCACAAAAGCAGCUGUAUUGAAGAUGUUAGUAGGGUAUGUGAUGGAAAGUUUAAUGGGUUGCUUGAUUUACAAGAAAAACUAAGCAGUGACAUUUCAAAAACAAGUUCCGUUAAAGUUCAUGAUGCUUCGGUAUACACCUCAAAGAUAGAGAAUGCAGUAGCACGUAAAAGGGUGUUUCUUGUUCUUGAUGAUAUUAGCACGCUUGAUCAGUUGGAUGCGUUACUUGGAAGCAAAGGUUUUCAUCCCGGAAGCAAAAUAAUUAUAACCACAAAGGAAAGACAUUUGAUAGAGAGGUGUGCACUAUUCAAAACAGACAUUAAACCAAAGCAUACAAAGCUCUUGCUUCAAGGCUUACAUGAGACCGAAUCAUGGAAACUUUUGUGUCUCCAUGCAUUCAAAUGCAACUAUCCCAAGACAGGUUAUGAAGGGGUGUUAUAUAAGCUUGUGAAGUAUUGUCAAGGACAUCCAUUGGCUCUUGUAGUAUUGGGAAAAUCUCUAUAUGAUCGAGAUGUAACUUAUUGGGAAGGGUGCAUAGAAGGGCUAAAGAAAGAAACAGAUUCUCAUGUGAAUAAUGUCUUGAGAAUGAGCUUUAACUCUUUGCCAUCCAAAAAUGAUAAGGACUUGUUUAAGUAUAUUGCUUGUUUUUUUGUUGGAAUAGAUAGAGAUGUUGCUGAAACAAUAUUAAAGGCAUGCAAUAUAAACAUAAGAUCUGGAAUCCCGAAUCUCCUCGACCGAUUCCUUCUUUCGAUUGGAUGGAAAAACAAAUUGAAGAUGCAUCAGUUGGUUCAAGAGAUGGGAAGGUUCGAAGUACGUCAAGAAUCACAUGACAAGCCAUGGAAGAGAAGUCUAUUAUGGUGUCAUGAGGAGUCAUUCAGAGUAUUAAAACAA
rnacentral:lncRNA from 1 species